rnacentral:misc_RNA from 1 species
GCCCUUGGUAUUCCAUGGGGCAUGCCUGUUCGAGCGUCAUUUGUCCCUUCAAGCUCUGCUUGGUGUUGGGUGUUUGUCUCGCCUUGCGCGUAGACUCGCCUUAAAACAAUUGGCAGCCGGCGUAUUGAUUUCGGAGCGCAGUACAUCUCGCGCUUUGCACUCAUAACGACGACGUCCAACAGUACUUUUUACACUCUUGACCUCGGAUCAGGUAGGGAUACCCGCUGAACUUAAGCAUAUCAAUAAGCGGAGGAAAAGAAACCAACAGGGAUUGCCCUAGUAACGGCGAGUGAAGCGGCAACAGCUCAAAUUUGAAAUCUGGCGUCUUUGGCGUCCGAGUUGUAAUUUGCAGAGGGCGCUUUGGCAUUGGCAGCGGUCCAAGUUCCUUGGAACAGGACGUCACAGAGGGUGAGAAUCCCGUACGUGGUCGCUAGCCUUUACCGUGUAAAGCCCCUUCGACGAGUCGAGUUGUUUGGGAAUGCAGCUCUAAAUGGGAGGUAAAUUUCUUCUAAAGCUAAAUACUGGCCAGAGACCGAUAGCGCACAAGUAGAGUGAUCGAAAGAUGAAAAGCACUUUGGAAAGAGAGUUAAAAAGCACGUGAAAUUGUUGAAAGGGAAGCGCUUGCAGCCAGACUUGCCUGUAGUUGCUCAUCCGGGUUUUUACCCGGUGCACUCUUCUAUAGGCAGGCCAGCAUCAGUUUGGGCGGUUGGAUAAAGGUCUCUGUCAUGUACCUCUCUUCGGGGAGAACUUAUAGGGGAGACGACAUGCAACCAGCCUGGACUGAGGUCCGCGCAUCUGCUAGGAUGCUGGCGUAAUGGCUGUAAGCGGCCCGUCUUGAAACACGGACCAAGGAGUCUAACAUCUAUGCGAGUGUUUGGGUGUCAAGCCCGAGCGCGUAAUGAAAGUGAACGGAGGUGGGAACCUUUCGGGGUGCACCAUCGACCGAUCCUGAUGUCUUCGGAUGGAUUUGAGUAAGAGCAUAGCUGUUGGGACCCGAAAGAUGGUGAACUAUGCUUGAAUAGGGUGAAGCCAGAGGAAACUCUGGUGGAGGCUCGCAGCGGUUCUGACGUGCAAAUCGAUCGUCAAAUUUGGGCAUAGGGGCGAAAGACUAAUCGA